rnacentral:tRNA from 2 species
UGCCUGGUGGUGUAACGGUAGCACGAGUGACUCUGGAUCACUUAGUCCUGGUUCGAAUCCAGGCCGGGCAA